rnacentral:rRNA from 1 species
GACUGUACAAAGGUAGCAUAAUCAUUUGUCUUUUAAUUGAAGGCUUGUAUGAAUGGUUAGAUGAAAAAUAUACUUUCUUUAUUUUAUAAAAAAAAUUUAAUUUUUUAGUCAAAAAGCUAAAAUUUAUAUAUAGGACGAGAAGACCCUAUAGAACUUUAUUUUUCUUUUCAUAUAAAUUUUUUGGAUUAAUAUAAGUUUAUAUGUUUAUAUUAAUUUUGUUGGGGUGAUUGAAAAAAUUUUUUAACUUUUUCUAUUUUAUACAUUUAUUUAUGUUAUUUUGAUCCUUUAUUAUGGAAAAUAAGAUUAAGUUACCUUAGGGAUAACAGCGUUAUUUUUUUGGAGAGUUCUUAUCGAUAAAAAAGUUUGCGACCUCGAUGUUGGAUUAAAAUAAGUGAUAGGAGUAGAAUAUUAUUUACUAGGUCUGUUCGACCUUUAAAUUUUUACA